rnacentral:rRNA from 1 species
UCUUCCGCAAUGGGCGAAAGCCUGACGGAGCAACGCCGCGUGAGUGAUGAAGGUCUUCGGGAUCGUAAAACUCUGUUAUCAGGGAAGAACAAAUGUGUAAGUAACUGUGCACAUCUUGACGGUACCUGAUCAGAAAGCCACGGCUAACUACGUGCCAGCAGCCGCGGUAAUACGUAGGUGGCAAGCGUUAUCCGGAAUUAUUGGGCGUAAAGCGCGCGUAGGCGGUUUUUUAAGUCUGAUGUGAAAGCCCACGGCUCAACCGUGGAGGGUCAUUGGAAACUGGAAAACUUGAGUGCAGAAGAGGAAAGUGGAAUUCCAUGUGUAGCGGUGAAAUGCGCAGAGAUAUGGAGGAACACCAGUGGCGAAGGCGACUUUCUGGUCUGUAACUGACGCUGAUGUGCGAAAGCGUGGGGAUCAAACAGGAUUAGAUACCCUGGUAGUCCACGCCGUAAACGAUGAGUGCUAAGUGUUAGGGGGUUUCCGCCCCUUAGUGCUGCAGCUAACGCAUUAAGCACUCCGCCUGGGGAGUACGACCGCAAGGUUGAAACUCAAAGGAAUUGACGGGGACCCGCACAAGCGGUGGAGCAUGUGGUUUAAUWYGAAGCAACGCGAAGAACCUUACCAAAUCUUGACAUCCUUUGACCGCUCUAGAGAU